UACAGAGGAUGCAAGCGUUAUCCGGAAUGAUUGGGCGUAAAGCGUCUGUAGGUGGCUUUUUAAGUCCGCUGUGAAAUCUCGAGGCUCAACUUCGAGCUGUCGGUGGAAACUGUCUGGCUAGAGUCCGGAAGAGGAGAAUGGAAUUCCUGGUGUAGCGGUGAAAAUGCGCAGGAUAUCAGGAAGAACACCCGUGGCGAAGGCGGUUCUCUGGGACGGUACUGACGCUGAGACGCGAAAGCGUGGGGAGCGAACAGG
rnacentral:rRNA from 1 species